GAGUAUUCCCUCUUUAGUUAAUCUGUUUAUCCUAAUUCUAUAUAUAUGAUCGAGCCUACAAUGCCAAAGAUAGGUAUAUGUGAUAAUAUCCAUUCUAGGAUAUUUGUUCGAAGUAUACAUUAUACUAAUAGAUUGUGAUGUCAUGUUUCAAUUAUCCACGCAUAAUCAUGAUACUAUUCAUAAUGAUAUCAUAAAAAGAAAUUUAUUGAAAAAUUAUAACCAUCCUUGAUCAAAAGGCCUAUGAAAAUAACAUUAAUAAAAAA
rnacentral:lncRNA from 1 species